rnacentral:rRNA from 1 species
UGAGGAAUAUUGGUCAAUGGGCGGAAGCCUGAACCAGCCAUGCCGCGUGCAGGACGACGGCCCUACGGGUUGUAAACUGCUUUUCCGGGGGAAGAAUAACCCCCCGUGCGGGGGGGGAUGCCGGUACCCCGGGAAUAAGGAUCGGCUAACUCCGUGCCAGCAGCCGCGGUAAUACGGAGGAUCCUAGCGUUAUCCGGAUUUACUGGGUUUAAAGGGUGCGUAGGCGGGCGUUUAAGUCCGCGGUGAAAGUCUGCGGCUCAACCGUAGGAUUGCCGUGGAUACUGGACGUCUUGGAUUCGGUCGGGGCGGCGGAAUGCGUGGUGUAGCGGUGAAAUGCAUAGAUAUCACGCAGAACGCCGAUAGCGAAGGCAGCUCGCCGGGCCGAAAUCGACGCUGAGG